UAGGGAAUAUUGGUCAAUGGAGGCAACUCUGAACCAGCCAUGCCGCGUGUAGGAAGAAGGCGUUCUGCGUUGUAAACUACUUUUGAUUGGGAACAAAUGACUCUUGCGAGAGUAGCUGAGUGUACCAAUAGAAUAAGCCACGGCUAACUACGUGCCAGCAGCCGCGGUAAUACGUAGGUGGCAAGCGUUGUCCGGAUUUAUUGGGUUUAAAGGGUGCGUAGGCGGCUUGAUAAGUCAGUGGUGAAAGCCGAUCGCUUAACGAUCGAACUGCCAUUGAUACUGUCGGGCUUGAGUAUAGUUGAGGUAGGCGGAAUUGACAGUGUAGCGGUGAAAUGCAUAGAUAUUGUCAAGAACACCAAUUGCGAAGGCAGCUUACUAAAGUAUAACUGACGCUGAGGCACGAAAGUGCGGGGAUCAAACA
rnacentral:rRNA from 1 species